rnacentral:rRNA from 1 species
CAACGUCUCCUCCCCCCGCCCUCAUCCCUAUUGCCGCCGCCGGGUCCUCUCCUCUCCCCAUCGGCGCGAGUGGGCGGGUCGCGGUGUGCGGAAAGCUAGGAGAGGGAGAAGACAGAUGCGUGAGGAGGAGGAGGCCACGGCCGUCGGCUCCUCUCCUCUCCCUGUCAGCGCCAGCGCGCUGGUCGCGGGGAGUGAGGAGAGCGAGGAGAGGGAGGGGGAAGAUCAAUGCGUGAGGAGGAGGACCACGCGGUGGCGCGCCAGCCAAAUCCGAGGCGCGUGGGCGCGGAGGCAGCCGCGGUGGGCUCCGGCCUCUUCUUCACGCACGACGGCAGGAGCAGCUCCACCUCUCCACUCCCCCCACGCGUGAGCCAUCCACAACCCCACCCCCACACCGAGGCAGCGUCCAGAGGCGGUCGGCGGCGGCGCAGGUUCUGAUAAAUGAGUGAUGACUAAUGGUUGAUGCAAAGGAGGAGCCGUACUGAUGGAAGUUGGCAGCAAAAUCAGGUGAGACUGGAUAGCCCGUCCCAA